rnacentral:hammerhead_ribozyme from 1 species
GCACUACUGAUGAGUCCCACAAUAGGACGAAACGGUCGUUCAGUGC